AUGUGGUCCGACCCAUGGGUGCCCGGCAUAGCCAACUUUAUUCCCACUCCCAGGAUAGCAAACUUGGUGUCAAAGGUCAGUGACCUUAUCGAUACGUACAACUGGACCUGGCGGCGGGACCUUAUUCAAGAAUCAUUCCAGCCACUUGAUGCGGCAGCAAUCUUGAACAUCCCACUCAGAACCGGCGGUGGCGAGGAUUUUUUAGCAUGGGCACAUGAAGUUUCAGGCAACUAUACCGUUAAAUCGGCGUAUCGAGCUCUAGUGACUCGCAACGAGCGUCAAGCUCAAGAGGAAGGGCAGGAUACCGGAACUCCAAUCGAUGAGCAACAGGUAUGGAGUAAGCUGUGGGAACUGAAGGUGCUGCCCAAGGUCAGGGUCUUU
rnacentral:rRNA from 1 species